CCUACGGGUGGCAGCAGUGAGGAAUAUUGGUCAAUGGGCGCGAGCCUGAACCAGCCAAGUCGCGUGAGGGAAGACGGUCCUAUGGAUUGUAAACCUCUUUUGUCGGGGAGCAAAAGACGCCACGCGUGGCGUUCCGAGAGUACCCGAAGAAAAAGCAUCGGCUAACUCCGUGCCAGCAGCCGCGGUAAUACGGAGGAUGCGAGCGUUAUCCGGAUUGAUUGGGUUUACAGGGUGCGCAGGCGGAAGAUCAAGUCAGCGGUAAAAUUGAGAGGCUCAACCUCUUCGAGCCGUUGAAACUGGUUUUCUUGCGUGCUGGCGAGGCACUCGUACUUCCGUGUGUCGCGGUGAACUGCGUCGCUAUACGGAGGAACACCAGUGGCUACGGCGGAUUGCUGGACAGUACCUGACGCUGAGGCGCUAACGCGUGGGAGCAAACAGGAUUAGAUACCCCAGUAGUC
rnacentral:rRNA from 1 species